GUGGUUAUUGUUGUUUUGUUUUUAUUUGAUUUUUUCUAGAGAAUUUAGGUGUAAUUUAAAAUUGCUGGUAUGAGAACAUUCUAAUUUCUUUAUGGAGGCACUUAAUGUUAUGAACGUUCCUCUUAGCUCUGCUUUCAUUAUGUACCAUAAAUUUGAGUAUGCUUGCCUUGAUUGUCAUUUAUUUCUAAAACAUCUUUGAUUUCUUUCUCUUUUUUGUCCUUAAUCCAGAGAUCAUUGAGUACAGAGUUGUUCAGUUUCCAUGAGUGUGCAGAUUUUUUUGGUGUUUCUGUUGUUGAAGUCCAGCUUUAAUUGAUGGGGGUCUGAUAAGAUAUUUCAAUUUUUUUUUUUAUCUGUUGAGACUUGCUUUGUGACUGAAUAUGUGGUCAGUUAGGAGAAAGAUCCAUGAGUCAUUGAGAACAAGGUAUAUUCUUUUGUGUUUGGGUGAAUAUUCUAUCAAUGUCUAUUAUGUCAAUUUGAUUCCUAAUGUCUGUUAGUUUCAUUAUUUCUCUGUUUAGUUUUUGUCUGGAUGUCCUGUCAAUUGAAUAGAGUGGUAUAUUAAAGACUCCCACUAUUAAUGUAUGGGGUUCAAUGUGCAAUUUGAGCUUUAGCAAUGUUUCUUUUACAAAUGUGAAUGCCCUGUGUUUGGGGCAUAGAUGUUCAGAAUUGAGAUAUCAUCUUGGUAGAUUUCUUCUUUGAUGUGUAUAAAGUGUCCUUCCCUGUUUUCUUGGAUUAAUUUUGGCAGAAAGUGUAUUCUAUUAGAUAUUAGAAUGGCUACUCCAGCUUGCUUAUUGGGUCCAUUUGCUUGGAAAACUUUAUUUUUCUGUUAGCCUGUGUCUUCUCAUUGAGUAAUUAAGUUUAUUGUUGUUGAUAGAUAUUAAUGACCAGUGAUUAUUAAUUUCUAUUAUUUUGAUGUUGGUGGUCUUAGUGUGUGUGUGUGUGUGUGUGUGUGUGUGUGUACUUCUCUUGAUUUUGCUGGUAUAGAGUUACUUCUUUCUUGUGUUUUCUUGUAUUUCAUUGUCUUCCAUGUUUUGCAGUUUUCCUUCUAGUAUUAUCUGUAGGGCCAGAUCUGUGGAUAGAUAUUUUUAAAAUUAAGUAUAAUACAUUUUGCAAAAUCAGUGUUUUAGUCAAUAUCUUUUAUAUUCAAAGUCAAUGCCUCCAAGAGAUCUCUCAAACAGUCUCUUUUUAUUUAAAAUGUAUUUUCAAUAACUAACAAGAAUCAUGCCAGCUUAAAAUAGCAGGAUGAUCUUCUCAGAGUGUCAGCUAGGAGCCAUGAUCAAACUGUUACAUGUUCAGCUCACAAGCAUUAUCUAUUCCACCUCAUAACCAAGGCUGGCUUCUAAAUGCUAGCCUUAGAAUAAGAAGAGAAAGUGCAGUAAAAAAGAAUUAGAAACUCUAAUCUCAUGUCUACUUUACCCCUGUGAUCUAUUUGAACCAUACUUUCCAGAUGAAACCAGUCCUUGAUUGACUACCUGCCAAGGAAAGUUGUGUGUGUCCUGUGAACCAGAAGAUGCUACUGUGUGUAUUUAACAUACUCUUCCCUAUGGGACAAAGCCACACUUCCAUAGACACCAUGACAACGUCUUAGUGCGAAUAGGCUACUGGUAGAUCUCUGACCUCUGAAGUGCAUAGAUCAAGGGACACAAAGCAAUAGGGAUGCGCUCUUGAGUAGAAAAGGAUAUCAGAGACAUGCUCAGAAUGACAGGUCCUGUAGCAUGGUUGCACUGGAAAAAAUUAGAAAACUGCUGUUAGUCUGAGUUUCAGCUGAAAGGAUUUAUUGCUACGACAAAGCGUUCACUAUUAUUUUCAUAGAAUUUACUUUCCUCUGUCUCAGCCCUGUAAAGUUCUACUAACUCUUGGCUUAUUGUUUAUUUUUUGGAAUUAUGGAAUGUGGUAAGAUUGGUGAUUUUACCUGGCCUGAGACAAUAUUACUCACACUCUAGCCUCACAGGCAAACUCUUCCUGGGAUUUUGUGUGUAAGGAAGAUGACUUAUACAUAAUGAUAUACUUAUUUUAUCUACUUAUUAAAUUUUAAUUAUCUUAAGUUUUAUGCAUGUGAAUGUUUUGUUUUGCAUGUGUGUCUUUGCACAAUGUAUGUGUAAAGUGCCCAAAAGGCCGGAUGAGUAUAUAUAAGCUCUAGAAAUUAGAGUUACAAAUGGCUGUGGUUUGACUUGUGGGUGCUAGAAAUUUGACCUGGGUCCUCUGGAAAAGCAUCAAGUGGUCUUAAACACUGACUCAUCCCCCUAGCCCUUGUGAAGAUAUGUUUUAAAUGACCAUACUUUCAUUAAAAUUUAAACGUAUACAAAUCUAACAGUCAUUUGAAAGUAAAAGAAAAUAACAAGCAUAAAAAGGGCACAGAUGUGCUCUUAGCUCGCAUUCUUAUCAGCUAGGAAACACAAAGUAAAAUUGUUUCAUGAUAAACAACAUCCUGUAAAAUUAAUAUGCAGGAGUCAAAUUUGAAGUAAAACACAUUUUUUAUUCCAGCUAGCAGGAUCUCCACACUACAUAGGAACAAGGCUUAUGUGUGUGAACCCAUGUUGUCAAGACAUGAGUUUCCAGCAGAGCUCACGGCAGGGCACCUGGGAGAGCAGCUGCUUUUGGAAUGCCUUUGCAAUUAUACUCACAAUUGAGAAUCCAUGAAGAAGUGCAGAUGCUUUAUAGACAGGUAGAUGGGAAACAAAUACCUAAUUGCCAUGAUUAAAAAAAAAAAGAUCC
rnacentral:lncRNA from 1 species